GAUGGGCUCGCGUCAGAUUAGCUAGUUGGAGUGGUAACGGCACACCAAGGCGACGAUCUGUAGCUGGUCUGAGAGGAUGAUCAGCCACACUGGGACUGAGACACGGCCCAGACUCCUACGGGAGGCAGCAGUGGGGAAUUUUCCGCAAUGGGCGAAAGCCUGACGGAGCAAGACCGCGUGAGGGAGGAAGGCUUUUGGGUCGUAAACCUCUUUUAUUGGGGAAGAAGCACUGACGGUACCCAAUGAAUCAGCAUCGGCUAACUCCGUGCCAGCAGCCGCGGUAAUACGGAGGAUGCAAGCGUUAUCCGGAAUUAUUGGGCGUAAAGCGUCCGCAGGUGGCUUGUCAAGUCUGCUGUCAAAGCGUGUAGCUUAACUACAUAAGGGCAGUGGAAACUGGCAGGCUAGAGUUUGGUAGGGGUAAGGGGGAUUCCCAGUGUAGCGGUGAAAUGCGUAGA
rnacentral:rRNA from 1 species